rnacentral:lncRNA from 14 species
GACAGCUUGUGUGCUCUCAGUUCCCACGUCAGCUUAUUUAGCAGUAACUUCCUUGUGUUAACAGGUCUUGAGCAUUUAUCACUUAAAGGGAGAAAAAGCCUUGCAGGUCCAGGAAUCACCUCCCAGCCUGAGGAGGAAAUAAAACACAGCUUGGAUCUAUCAUUUGCUGCUUGCCACCAUGACGUAAGCUUGGGGCUGAACCCUCCACCUGUUGCUGGGACCUUAAAUGAGCUGACGCCAGAAGAGAAAAGCACUUUCUCUUGAGUUUAGUUGCGAGUAGCAGCAGUAACAGAAGCGGCAAUGAGGUGCUGUGUAGUCCUUGUUGUGUUGCUCAGUCUGGUGUUCUUUUCGAAAGGAAGCACUACAGCUCUUGAGACAACACCAUCAACAACACAAGGAAGUACAGCAGGAAGCAAUACAGCUCUUGAGACAACACCAUCAACAACACAAGGAAGUACAGGUAAGGAUCAAAAUUGCUUUGUGAGCCCCUUCCCAGGGCACGAUUGGAGUGACCCAGUCCAAGGGAGUUCUACAAUCUCCAGAGACAGGAACAUAUUCCCCUGACUGGUUUUGCCCAGGUUAUUCUCUCAGGGGAGACAAGAGUGGCCUGGGUCAAUGCUGCAAAUCCUCCUCAGCUGUUCCUCUUUCCCCACUGACCUUUGGUGCCAG